rnacentral:misc_RNA from 1 species
CCUUUUGGAAACGCAACACAUGGGUUGACCUGAUUGAUAUAUGGGUCAGAUUCCAUUAAGGUUCGGAACAUACCCAAGUGUUCCGCUGGCAGCCGUACCCUGCAGCUGUAGCCAUACUAGUCGUACCCUCCUCGCACGACGCCCCCGGGAGGAGAGGGGAUAGCUCCUGCUGUGUGUAGCCAUGAAUCGCCUGCUGUGUCACUGCAGGGGUUGGCUUGGGCCUCAGACCAAGCCUGGGAGGCUGCUGGGUCAACCGGGGGUCCACCUCUGCAGGCGCCGCCUCCUUCAGGGGGUUCCCUUCCCCGUCAGAGGCUACAGGUCCCUCAGAGGUGUAUAUGGUUAUAGACCCGAGCAGCCCAGGCCAUUCUCAUUACCAGAAGAUGUCAUACAACGAAGAGCAGAAGAGAGUAAUAUUUUCAGAUUCAUCAGUGCUUAUCGGGAAUUUGGACACCUCAAAGCUGAUGUCAACCCUUUACAACCAAAUGAUAGGCUGGUGCCUGAGUUAGAGCCUGAACUGUAUGGUCUUAGUGCUGACAAAACUUACAAAAUUAAAAGCCUAAUAACUGGGUACGAUGAGCCCUGCACAUUAGAACAGCUGCGAGAUAUUCUACAAGAACAGUAUUGCGGACAUAUUGGUGUGGAGUUUUCCUAUUUGCCAACUUUAGAAGAGAGAGAGUGGUUUGCAACAGCCUUUGAAACUAUAAACAAGGAAGCUCUAUCCACUGAAGAACGCACCAGUCUGGCUGGAGACUUGUUAAGAUCUCAGGCCUUCGACAAUUUUUUGGCCACCAAGUUUCAGAGUGUCAAGAGGUAUGGAGGAGAGGGAGCCGAGUCCUUGGUUAUCUUCUUUACGGAAACUUUUAAGAAACUUGCACAAGAUGGGGUUGAACAAGCAGUGUUAGCCAUGGCCCAUCGUGGACGGCUUAAUCUCCUGACUGGAGUUCUGCAGUACCCACCAGUUGUUAUGUUUCAGAAGAUGAAGGGCUUGCCAGAGUUUCCUCCUGAUGUGGAGUUUACUGGGGAUGUUCUUUCACAUUUAGUUAGCUCAGUAGACUUAGAGAUGGGGGAACAAGCCUUGCACGUCACAAUGCUACCCAACCCAUCCCACCUAGAAGCUGUGAAUCCUGUGGCUUGUGGAAAAACUCGUGCAAGGCAGAGGAGUUUAGGUGAAGGUUGCUAUUCCUCUGACGUUUCUUCUCAGCAUGCCGAUAAGGUUGUUUGUAUUCAGGUCCAUGGAGAUGCUGCAUUGGCAGGGCAGGGAGUAAUGCAGGAAACACUAGCACUGUCAAAUGCUCCAAAUUUUACCAUUGGGGGAGCCUUGCAUGUGUCCAUUAAUAAUCAGGUUGGCUAUACAACCCCUGGAGAGCGCACUCGAUCAUCGACGUAUUGUACAGACAUCGCCAAAAUGUGUGGUAUGCCAGUCAUACAUGUAAAUGGAGAUGAUCCAGAGGCUGUUGUCAGAGCUGCUCGUUUAUCAGUCCAGUAUCAAAGGAAAUUCCGCCGAGAUGUGUUUGUUGAUUUGACAUGCUGGCGUCGAUGGGGACACAAUGAACUGGAUAAUCCUUGGUUUACCAAUCCUUUGAUGUACAGCAACAUAGACUCUCGCAGGAGUGUGCCGGACACGUAUGCUGAUGCCUUGGUGACGGAAGGUGUACUUACCCGAGAAGUGGCUGUGAAAGUUGUAGCGGAUCACUUGUCUUUUCUAGCUGAGCAGUUCAAACAAGUUGAUUCUUAUAUUCCUAAGGCUCCACAUUUAGAGAAGCAGUGGUCAGGAUUUGUUCAGGCCCCGAGUGCCGUUGAAGUUUGGGAUACUGGGGUGGAUAUUUCUUUGCUGAAGUAUUUAGGAGCAAAAUCUGUCUAUGUACCUGAGGAAUUUAAUGUCCAUAAACAACUCAAGAAGUCUCACAUUGACACUCGUCUUCAUAAACUUAAUGAAGGGCAUGGCUUGGAUUGGGCAACUGGGGAGGCAUUAGCCAUGGCUUCAUUAUUGCAUCAAGGUUUCAACAUACGCAUUAGUGGUCAAGAUGUGGGUCGGGGUACAUUCUCUCAUCGACACUGCAUGUUGGUUGAUCAAGUAACUGAUGAAAUGUAUAUUCCUCUCAACCAUAUGAGUGAAGAACAAGCUUGCUGUCUUGAGGUUGUCAAUAGCAUUCUAUCUGAAGAAGCAGUACUGGGCUUUGAAUACGGAAUGUCAGUGGAAAGCCCUAACACACUCUGUAUUUGGGAGGCACAGUUUGGAGAUUUUUACAAUGGUGCCCAAAUUAUGAUUGAUACAUUUGUGUCCUCAGGAGAAAGAAAGUGGCUGACACAGAGUGGUUUAGUGAUGGUUCUGCCUCAUGGCUAUGAUGGUGCAGGUCCAGAUCACUCAUCGUGUCACAUAGAACGCUUCUUGCAAAACUGUGACUCAAGUGAGAUUUCUCCAGAUGGAGAAGAUGUCAACUGGUGUAUUGUAAAUCCAACAACUCCUGCACAGUAUUUCCAUUUGCUCCGGAGACAGCAUGUGGUUUGGAAUAACCUCUACUACAUCCCUAUUCAGUCUCUGAAAAUUUUGUAUUAAGGAACUACCGCAAACCUCUUAUCGUUGCUGGUCCAAAGUCUAUUCUUCGUCUGUCAGCUGCAUCAUCUAGCAUAGAGGAUAUGGCUACUGGGACACACUUUCUACCUGUUAUUGGUGACAAAGAUGUGAACCCUGAUAAUGUG